rnacentral:piRNA from 1 species
CUGCGUCUUCAAAAGGCCA